GCAAGAGGCCUUAUACAAAAGCUACCCCUCUGCCAAAUUUCCAGCCCUAGCUCCAAAGCAAGAAAUACUAAAACUUCUCAACUGAACAGUUAGUUUUGGUUCAGAAAAAUGUUUGAGAUGUCUAUCUUUCAUCCUGCUUCAGGACAGGGGAAAACUUCAAAAUCUCAAAAACUAUUUCCCACCCAGCUCAACUAAGCAACUUGCCCAAGACCACACAACAGAAAGAUGAAACGUUUCUUGCAAGCCAGAAGAGAAAGAAAGCGGAAUACAAAGCUGAAAGAGAAUACAGACAACAAUAAAAGACAGUUAUUAAAUUUGUGAACUCUAUCAGAGGACAAGAAAAUAAACUAUAUGACUGACUAGAAGGGUACUGAAGUAUGACAUUUCAUUUUCAUGCAGCUCUCCACAUGAUAAAGAUUUUCAUGUAGAAUCUACAGCAGAUGGAACUGAAGCAGAAGCAGACUUUUAAAAUUGGCAAGUUGGGUGAUGAGCGGAAAGAAGCAUGACAGAAACAUAUUCUAGCAGAAAAGCUUUCCUCUUACAGUGAAACAGGUCAACUUCCACAGGGACUGAAAAAUAUUUUACUAAGAUAAAAACAGUUUGUCCCUAAAGAAACUGAAAAUAUGCUCUGUUUUAUUUUAGCAGAAGGUGCAAUCAGAGCUUAAACCAUAUGCAGCAUAUUUUUCAUUGCCAAAGGAGAUAACUACUGUUCUGUUACAAGCCACAUGCCUGUAUUAAAUACUAGCAAAGUCAUAUAAAGAAACUCUUAUUACUAGUGUUUGUAGAUUUCAUUUGAAAGCAGAAUCAUGUGUAGGAAUUGGGGUCAAUUUACCCUGGAGGUAACUCCCUGAUCCAAAUACAGUUAUGUUACGAA